ACUUACUGAAUAUAUUCCAAAGAAGAGGCAUCUAAAAUCAAUACUCUAAGCUUCUACUUUAGGAAACUAGAAAGAGAAGAGCAAAUGAAGUACAAAGUAAACAGAAGAAUGAUGAAGUUAUUCAUUUUAGUUACUGUUUUGCUCUGUGCUAUCUGAGUCAUCCACCUGGGAUAGCACAGGUAUAUUUCAUUUUACAGAUGAUCCAUUUUCCUUUUUUACAAAUUGGAAGUUUGUGGCAUCUAUUGGCACCACUUUUCCAACAGCAAGCACCCAUUUUGUGUCUCUGUCAGCAUUUUUAACAAUAAAGUAUUUUUAAUUAAGGUAUGUAAUUUGUUGAGACAUAAUGCUACUGCACACUUAAUGGAACACAGUAUAAUGUAACAU